ACUGCAUUCUCCUACACAGUGCUGCAGCUGCAGGACAGGAAUCGGGACGAGAGCCAAUGUGGGUCCCAGAGAGGUUGACGCGACAAGUCCCUCGACUGAAGAUCAGGCCUGUUCCACCAGAGGCCAACCGCAGACCCAACAACAAGAUGAGCCCUAAAAGAACUGCAGGACGGUCCCUUUUUGGGGGCCUGGAACGGCUUGCUCCCCUAUGUGCUAACCUUGUAUACGCAUGGCUCGCUCGCAUGGCCUACGACCGCGUUUAAAAGUGACAGGCUUCCCACAUUCUCCUCCCUAGACAACAACAUGUAGCAGGGUGGGUGAGUCAAUGACGGGUAAGAGCGUGCCUCCCCAGCACGACUCAACCUAAGCCAGGCCCUACCCCGUUCCGCUCGAAAGCCGCUGGAUUGUUAGAUAAAUUUCUCUCCGAGGGGAUUCGUGGAGAGAAAUGAGUGCAUGCCUAUGUGCAACCAGGUUCCGUCCGGUUCAUUCCUGGCCCUAGAAAAAAGGACGAGGGCCUCAGGGCCUUGGUGGACCCUGGGACGGCCGACCAGGGUCUACGCUAAGGGCCUACGGUGGGCCUCAGUUCGGGGCAUAGGCCUCUGCACUCUAUUCAGGACGGGCUGCGAUGCGCGUAGCCAUCAUUUAAAAUAAAAUAGGGGGAGAUGUUGGGAGCCGUGGCACUGUCAAGUCAUCAGACGCGGUGAUUGCGAGGCCUGUGGGAAAGUACAAAAGCCUGAGCUAGAUUACCCCUCUCAUCGAGCCCGCCUGUGUGGCACCUGUUUCUUAUCACCCCACUAAGUUCCCGCCUCACAGGGUAGUCUGCCUAGCUAUUAAUCCUAUAUAUAGCCAGUGCCUCCACCCCCGAGAGAGAGACUGAAGCACAAAAGAAGCCGCGGGGAGCGGACCGGUAGAGGCUUCGGGGGAGACUGAAGCACAAAAGGAGCCGUGGGGAGCGGACCGGUAGAGGCUUCGGGGCAGACUGAAGCACGGAAGGAGCCGCGGAGAGCGGACCGGUAGAGGCUUCGGGGCAGACUGUAUAAGGAGAGAAUAAAGAAAAGCCUGACCACCGCCA